rnacentral:rRNA from 1 species
CAGUCGCCGCGGGAAUACAGAGGGUGCGAGCGUUAAUCGGAUUUACUGGGCGUAAAGCGUGCGUAGGCGGCUUCUUAAGUCGGAUGUGAAAUCCCUGAGCUUAACUUAGGAAUUGCAUUCGAUACUGGGAAGCUAGAGUAUGGUAGAGGAUGGUAGAAUUCCAGGUGUAGCGGUGAAAUGCGUAGAGAUCUGGAGGAAUACCGAUGGCGAAGGCAGCCAUCUGGCCUAAUACUGACGCUGAGGUACGAAAGCAUGGGGAGCAAACAGGAUUAGAUACCCCUGUAGUCCCUGUCUCUUAUAC